rnacentral:lncRNA from 1 species
AGAGGCUGAACAGCACACAGAGAUGCAGAGCCAUCCUGUGAAUAUUUUGGUCUAAGCUGGGGGCUCCCCUUCUGACAUUAGCAUCUAUUAUCUUCCUGGCUGAAUUCUUCCCUAAAGGGCGCUCGGCAUCCCUAGGUGGUUGCCAGUGUCAAGGCAACCUCACCAACUGUGAAGGUAUCCUGAGCUCCUGGAACAGGCAGAAAAGAAACCUGGCAGGAAGAUUUGGAGGUGGCUGCAAGCUGGCCUGACUUCUGCAGUGAAACAAGUCCCAGGAGCUGGAGGUACACCAUGCUGAGCUCCUGUUUCCUUGCAAGAUAACAGGUGUUCAGUGCCCCAAAAGGUGUUUCUUGCUUUGUCCUGUGACUGUGGACCACCUCUUCCCUGGGCAAUCCAGAGAGCUCUUCCACCAUCCAACAGCUGCAACCACACUGGCUCCAAAAAAGUCUGAACCCAACUUUUGAAGAGGGAUGCACCUUCCAUGUCUGCCUCUCCUUGGGAGAGAAGAUGAAAUAUUUCCAUCUUCACUGACAAGGACUUCUGGCAAUUUGGAUGAAUGAUGCCAAGAGAAGAAAGCAACCAGCUUAUAAACUUCCUAAGGAAGCAAAUUUCAAAAGAAACCCCAAACAUCACGAAUCACAAGCUGCUUUGUUUUCUUAUUCAUGACCUUCAUCUACCUUCCCUUUCAUCAAGUAAAUGGAAAUGUGUCAUUCUGA